AUUUCCAGGAAGUGACCUCACAAAGACUCAAGCUACCACUUACUGUUGAUUGUGAUGAAAUGCCAGCUGAGGCACACGCCUUGGGAGCUAAGUGGUUGCUGCCCUUGACUACUAUGAAGACUGGUGUGGGAAGGGUCGCUUUGGAUGCACUUGAGCAGGGGUCCCCAACCCCUGAGCCAUGGAGCCGUAAGGAGCCACACAGCAGGUGAGUGGUGUCGAGUGAGGGAGUGAGGGAAGCUUCGUCUGUAUUUACAGCCACUCCCCUUUGCUCACAUUCCCGCCUGAGCUCCACCUUCUCAGAUGAGCAGCAGCAUUAGAUUCUCAUAGGAGAACGCACCCUGUUGUGAACCGUGCAUGUGAGGGAUCUAGGUUGCGCUGUGCUUAUGAGAAUCUAAUACCUAUUGAUCUGUCACUUUCCCCCAUCACGCUCAGGUGGGACCAUCCAGUUUCAGGAAAACAAGCUUAACACGCCCACUGAUUCUACAUUAUGCUCCUACCUCCCGGCAGCCUCGCCAGGCCCAGAACUCUCUCCAGUCAGCCUCUACAGACCAAGCUCAUGACUCACAAUGGCCUAUUUAGGCCCAUACCCUACCUCACGGCAGUCUCCGCAGAUGAGCCUACUGCCUCACAACAGCCUCCACAGGCACAGCUCCAUCGUUACAAUGGCCUCUUUAGACCCAGCUCCUGCCUCCCAGCCUUCUCUCCAGGCCCUGAACUUUCUCCGUGGGACCAUCCAGUUUCAGGAAAACAAGCUUAACACGCCCACUGAUUCUACAUUAUGCUCCUACCUCCCGGCAGCCUCGCCAGGCCCAGAACUCUCUCCAGUCAGCCUCUAGAGACCAAGCUCAUGACUCACAAUGGCCUAUUUAGGCCCAUACCCUACCUCACGGCAGUCUCCGCAGAUGAGCCUACUGCCUCACAACAGCCUCCACAGGCACAGCUCCAUCGUUACAAUGGCCUCUUUAGACCCAGCUCCUGCCUCCCAGCCUUCUCUCCAGGCCCUGAACUUUCUCCGUGGGACCAUCCAGUUUCAGGAAAACAAGCUUAACACGCCCACUGAUUCUACAUUAUGCUCCUACCUCCCGGCAGCCUCGCCAGGCCCAGAACUCUCUCCAGUCAGCCUCUAGAGACCAAGCUCAUGACUCACAAUGGCCUAUUUAGGCCCAUACCCUACCUCACGGCAGUCUCCGCAGAUGAGCCUACUGCCUCACAACAGCCUCCACAGGCACAGCUCCAUCGUUACAAUGGCCUCUUUAGACCCAGCUCCUGCCUCCCAGCCUUCUCUCCAGGCCCUGAACUUUCUCCGUAAGUUGAGGUAGCUGGGACUGUAGGUAUACAUGAUGAUACUUGGCUAAUUUUUAAAUUGUUUUGCAGACAUGGGGUCUCACUUUGUUGGCCAGGCUGGUGUCAAACUAAUGGCCUCAAGUGACCCUU